rnacentral:lncRNA from 10 species
CAAGAAGACUUUCCAGUUCACAGAAAAGACUUGGUAUUUGCCAAACGAACCAUGAAUAAGCUCCCUUUUCUUCAAGUGCAUCAACAAGCAAAUGCACCACAGAAACAGCAUGCUCAUCGAGAGAUUCAGCUGACCCUAAACUUUGCAUUGACUCACACUGCUGGCGUGAGAUCCAGAGACACCAAGCAGCCAGCCUUCUACGGAGGGGCCUCACCUGGCUUCGUUUGACUUUUCUGCUCUGGAAACACCUGUCGGAAUUCAAGGGUAAAAAAACUGAGGCUCACCAGGAAAAGCAACCCACUAAGGAGACAGUCUCAGAACACGCUGUAAGAUAGGCAGCCUUUCGGGAAACACCGGCCACUGUUCCUGAUGGGCUCUGAUCCUGUAGUGAGGAUGUGGAAUCCAGCAUGAAAGCUUUUUACAGCGGGAACUCACUCUCCAUAGGCGAAGCUGCGAUCUCCAUCAUUUUCUCUCCAUCCUCUGUGCAUGGCGGCAUCUGCUGCUCAGAAGCCGCCUCUCCUGAUCUUGCUGGAAUGAAAGAACCCAACUCCUUUUGUCGUCAACCCAAAAUAAGAGAAGAGAACAGCCACAGGUGGUGGUCAUGUUCCUUCCAACUCCACCAGGAGGCCAGGCCCACCAGUGGGUGCUAGGAAAAUUCACAGCGCCAACAGUAAACAUAACAUACCUUCCUGAUGGAAUUUCUUUUUGUGAUUCCCUUGUGUUUUAAAUUCUCCUGUUUGUAUUAAUUAUACUUGACCAACUUUCUAAUAUAAAAAGUUUAUAUCAUGCUCAGAAAUAAAUUAUUAAUGAUUACCAAAUAAAGCAAAUUACUAUUGUAUUUUCUAGGUAAGCAUGGAGUAUGUAAAUGCUAUUAUUAUCAUUACCCAAAUUAUUAACUAAGAUAACGAAGGCUUUAUUCUUGAGUUUUAAAUUCCUGGUUGAACAAACCUUGUUAUAUUUGACACUUCCUGUGAAGGCUUAAGAAAACACAGGACUGAGAAAGUGAUGUCUGUGGUCAUCAAGG